CGCAUGUAGCUCAACUGGUAGAGCAACGGUCUUUUAAACCGGAGGUCCUGGGUUCAAGUCCCAGCAUGGCGA
rnacentral:tRNA from 1 species